rnacentral:lncRNA from 1 species
AAUUCUUUAUAAUAUUUUUUUUAUAAACUUUGUUGCAGAGUCAUCGUACUGUUACAGGAUUGAGAGGCAAACCCUUUCCAUAUUUGGAGCAAUUAUCCUUAGUAUUUGGAAAAAAUCGCACAACUUGUGCUGGUGCAAAAUCUGCUGCUGAUACUGCAAGGAACAUCAAAGAGAAAGAGUUAAUGACAUAUGCAUCUACCCAAGAACUUGAUGCCAAGGCAUUUUUUAUGAACAAAGAAGUGGUCGAGCAAAAUCUGCUGAUGACACUGCAAGGAACAUCAAAGAGGAAGAGUUAAUGACAUAUCCAUCUACCCAAGAACUUGAUGCCAAGAUAUUAUUUAUGAACAAAGUAGUGGUCGAGCAAACACUUCGAAUGGUGGCACAUCAGGAAGAUCAAAGUAGUGAAAGUCACCACUUGGAGAGGAUUCGAUCAAUGAACAAAAUUCUGCUCAACCUUGCGCUCACUUGAAACUUCAUUUAACGAUACCAAUGAGCACUUAGGUCGGCUUGCUAAUUUCUUUCAAUUCAUGGCAAACAAUGAGAACAAGAAGUUGUUCAAAGAGAUACUAAAGAUCGAGGGACAUUAGGACGGGCACAUAAUGGAUGCCAUUGAAAUCCUAACAAGUGAUUCUACAAAACUACAUAUAUUUUACUCGAUGCCUGAUCGUCACAGGAAGCAAUAUAUUUUUCGUAUCUUAUGUGGGAUUGAUUGAAGAAAUUGCAUUAUUUGAUUAUGG